AUUGAACGCUGGCGGCAGGCCUAACACAUGCAAGUCGAACGGUAACAGGAAGAAGCUUGCUUCUUUGCUGACGAGUGGCGGACGGGUGAGUAAUGUCUGGGAAACUGCCUGAUGGAGGGGGAUAACUACUGGAAACGGUAGCUAAUACCGCAUAACGUCGCAAGACCAAAGAGGGGGACCUUCGGGCCUCUUGCCAUCGGAUGUGCCCAGAUGGGAUUAGCUAGUAGGUGGGGUAACGGCUCACCUAGGCGACGAUCCCUAGCUGGUCUGAGAGGAUGACCAGCCACACUGGAACUGAGACACGGUCCAGACUCCUACGGGAGGCAGCAGUGGGGAAUAUUGCACAAUGGGCGCAAGCCUGAUGCAGCCAUGCCGCGUGUAUGAAGAAGGCCUUCGGGUUGCAAAGUACUUUCAGCGGGGAGGAAGGGAGUAAAGUUAAUACCUUUACUCAUUGACGUUACCCGCAGAAGAAGCACCGGCUAACUCCGUG
rnacentral:rRNA from 1 species